rnacentral:lncRNA from 1 species
UCGUAGAGCCGAUUCUUGGAUCAAAUUUUUAGCAAGAAUUGCAGUCUUGUACGGCACUGAAUGCCCCAUCCAGUCAGCCUUCUCACAAUCCCCCAUCCCAAGAAUUACAACACCAAGCCAAAUAAAGGCAAACACUCAAGGCAAAUAGAGAAGUCCCACGUAUCUCUGUUAUUGCAAUUCCCACAUGAUCUGGAUACAAAAGACCUAUCCAAAGUCUCUGAAUCUCACUAAGGAGACACUCCCAUAGCUUGCUGCCAAGGACCAGCAUAUACAGAGAUUAUAUAGACAUGGUGGACAACUCCCCCAACCGCUAGGAACUUUCCAAAACCGCUGUCAAUCACUGUUAACUGCUCCAAGAAGUUUGGACAACUCCAAGAAGUUUAGAACUGCUGGAAACCAUCUAGUAUCUAGACUCAAGUCCUGUCGCAUAGGUCCCUCAUCACAUGGCUCAUCUCGCCAUGCAUCCUAUGGCACACGCCCAUGCAUCCCGCC